GACGAACGCUGGCGGUAUGCUUAACACAUGCAAGUCGAACGAGAAGUCUUUUAUUGAACCUUCGGGGGAUAUAAGGGACAGACAGUGGCGAACGGGUGAGUAACGCGUGGGCAACCUACCUAUCGGAGCGGGAUAGCCUCGAGAAAUCGGGAGUAAAACCGCAUAACACGGAUAUAUCGCAUGAUGAAUCCGUCAAAACUCCGGUGCCGAUAGAUGGGCCCGCGUCUGAUUAGCUAGUUGGUAAGGUAAGGGCUUACCAAGGCAACGAUCAGUAGCCGGUCUGAGAGGGCGAACGGCCACACUGGAACUGAGACACGGUCCCAGACUUCCUACGGGGAGGGCAAGCAGUGGGGGAAUUAUUGCGCCAAAUGGGGGGCCAACCCC
rnacentral:rRNA from 1 species